UCGGGAAUUUUGGGCAAUGGGCGAAGGCCUGACCCAGCAACGCCGCGUGAGGGAUGAAGUAUUUCGGUAUGUAAACCUCGAAAGAAUGGGAAGAAUAAAUGACGGUACCAUUUAUAAGCUCCGGCUAACUACGUGCCAGCAGCCGCGGUAAUACGUAGGGAGCAAGCGUUGUUCGGAUUUACUGGGCGUAAAGGGCGCGUAGGCGGCGCGGUAAGUCACUUGUGAAAUCUCUGAGCUUAACUCAGAACGGCCAAGUGAUACUGCUGGGCUAGAGUGCGGAAGAGGCAACCGGAAUUCUUGGUGUAGCGGUGAAAUGCGUAGAUAUCAAGAGGAACACCUGAGGCGAAGGCGGGUUGCUGGGCCGACACUGACGCUGAUGCGCGAAAGCCAGGGGAGCAAACG
rnacentral:rRNA from 1 species